GGGCCCCCAUGAUGCCCAGCACUGGGCUCUGACCUCCCCUGAGGACAAGGUGCCCCCCUGGGACCUUUGACACCCGGCGGGAUCUGAGGGGCCC
ensembl:snoRNA small nucleolar RNA, C/D box 88A